CAAUUUCGAAAUGCUUCCAGUCUCUCUUCUUGUGAAAAUAUCCCCAAGAUUAAUAUCCAGUCAAGUUGCUAUAAUUUGGAAGGGAGCAAAUGUCCAUUGUGUAUUCAUAGUUAGCCCAUGGUAUAAUCCUACUUUUUGUAAUUGAGGCAGCACAGUAUAAAGUUGUUUUAAGAUACAUUUCACAAGACCCCCACAGUCCAAAUUUAAUUACAAUUCUGAUAGGAUUUUUCUCCUGAGAAAAAUUAUCUGUAAGAAAUGGAACCAAGUACAUUAAUACAUAGCAGGAUUAGAGGUUUGUUCAGCCUCACCCUUUCCUAUAAAGUGAACUCAGGCCUAUUAAAUAAAAUUAACAUAUUGCUCCUCUUACCAUGCAGGCUGGAAAAUUUCCCCAAUGCCAAAUCAAGGAGCAGUUUUGGGAAGCAGUGUGUUACCUCAGAAGCCACAAAGAUGUCCCAUAGGCCUCUGAAUGAUUUUUGUGCUCUUCUACAGAUCCGCAUGACUGAAGUAUCUGGAUUGUGGCUGAACCAUUUAAGAGUUACAACAACAGGAGUUCCCAUCGUGGCUCAGUGGUUAAUGAGUCCGACUAGGAACAUGAGGUUGCGGGUUCGAUCCCUUGCCUGGCUCAGUGGGUUAAGGAUCCGGCAUUGCCAUGAGCUGUGGUGUAGGCCAGCAGCCACAGCUCCGAUUAGACCCCUAUCCUGGGAACCUCCAUAUGCCACAGGAGCGGCUCUAGAAAAGGCAAAAAGACAACAAAAAAAAAGUUAUAACAACAGCUAUGGUUUGCUAUAUGAGCAAUUUGCUAAGAGCAAGGGGUUGUAAUCACCAAUAUGGCCCAUUUCCAGUGGCUGUGUUUCCACGUAAUAUAGCAGUUCAAAGUAGCCUUAGACAUUUAAGGUUUUCUGCUCUUUCUGAAUGCAGUAAGAACUUUACCUGAGAUCAGUCAAGAAGCAAGUGAAACAAAUGAGAGAGACAAACAAAUAUACAUAGUCUUUAAAUGACCCAAUAAGAUGCAACCAAUUUUAUUAUGGUAAAAUGUCAUUUUAAAAACAUGUUUUUAAGGAAAUAACUUUAAAAAUUGAUUUUUAAGCCAUUUUUAAUGGUAGUAUUGGAUAUCUCCUUCCUGCCAAAUAAAGCUUUACAUUCUUCCUCAAAUGAAUAGGCCAAGAUCUAAAUUACAGUUUGCUCAAUUUUGCCUUUUUCAAACAUCAGGAACAUAAUCACGGUUCUCUUGGCUUAUCCAUGGGUAAUCUUCAGGUAUGGAAAAGGAUGACAAAGAUAUGAAAGCAGGGUAAGAUCCCAGCACUUACAGUUAAAAUACUUGUGUUUUGUGCAAGUUUUGUUGACUAAAGGAAGAGAUCUGGACUUCAAAUACAGCUGUGUGCUGAGCAAACUUGACUGCUCUAAACACUGAAAUUCAGUUCCUUUGCCAAUUCCAUGGGCAAGCAUUCCGGAGGCCUGAGUUGAAAUGUGCAGAUAAAUACUCUGUGCUAGAGUUCUUGGUGCCAAAGCAUACAGAAUACUUGUGUUCUGCUGUGGAAAUCUUGGAAGAACAGAACUUCUGUUUUUAAUAUCUCUGAGGAUUUAAAACAGUUUUUAGACUACUUAUUACCUUUCAUAAAACUCACUCCUACUUUAAAAGUCUCUUCUUGGCUUACCUAUAUUAAAAAGAGGAAAAGAAUACUUUUUGAUUCCACUGAGUUUUGUCUUCUUUAUUGAAGUUAACCAAGCUAAUAAGAGAAAGGACAGCAGUGGAAAAAGUAUAGAAAUGGGACUCAGAAUGGGUAUUUUUAAAAAAAAAUGUGAUCUUGAGCUUUCUCAUUUGUAAAAUGAGAAGGGUGAUGAUCUCUAAGAUUCCUUUUGGAAAAGCGGGGAAACUCACAACUUUUAAGCACAUACUGAGUGCCAUGCAUGUGAAAUACAAUUAUUUAGUCCUCAUAACAACCCUGAGAUGAGGACAUUAUAAUAUUUUCAUUGAACAGACAAAGAAUCCAAAGAACAAAGGCAUUGUAUAAUAUGCCCAAGGUCACAAAGUGAAUUAAAAAUGGAUACAUCUGGCUCCAAAUGUAUGCAUCUUUUUAUUUCCAUUUGUAUGGCAUGAGCUCUCGUGCUUUUUAGUGAAUUUGCAGAAUAGAAUAAAUGAGUAAAUUGAUAAAGUGAGGAAAAGUUAAAACAUUCAAAGCUUGGCCUGGACAUUUAUCGACAAAUUAUCUUUGACAUGGGUAAAUAUGAAGAGCUAGAGACAAAAGAGAAGUACUUCACGAAGUAUCACUAAGUUCCUUACUGUGUAGAAUUUCUCCAUUUCAUGAUGUCUUACAUCGCAACAACAUUUUUUGGUAUUUGCUUAUAUAUCUUAUUAUACAGAAUUUGCUGUAAUGCUUACAUAUGAUGAAACAUGUCUGUAAUAUGAUGGCAAUAAACCUUUAUUUAAUGCUUUUGUGUUUUUGUUUGUAUGAUUUUUAAGGGCCUCACCUUCAGCAUAUGGAAGUUCCCAGGCCAGGGGUUGAAUCGGAGCUGCAGCUGCCGGCCACAGCCACAGCCACAGCAACACCAGAUCGGAGCCACAGCUUCGACCCAUACCACAGCUCAGGGCAACAUCGGAUUCUUAACACACUGAGGAGAGCCAGGGAUCGCAUCCUCACACUAGUCAGGUCCAUGACCCUCUGAGCCACAAUAGGAAUUCCAUAAUGCUUUUGUGUUUUAGUAUAUAGAGUUGACUGUGGUUGUUUUGGGUUUUGUUUUGUAUUUACCUUUGUUUUGUUUUUGUUUUUGUCUUGUUAGGGCCACUGGAUCCUUAACCCACUGAACAAGGCCAGGGAUCAAACCUGUAUCCUCAUAGAUAUUAGUCAGGUUCAUUACCCUGAGCCACAGUGGGAACUCUCUGUAUUUACCUUCCUGAGCUGAGACAUUAGGUGAUAAUCCAUACAAUAAUCCUAUAAGAUAUAUGCUAUUGUUUUCCACAUUACUGAUGAAGAAACCAAGGGUCAGAGAGGUUAAGUAACUUACCCGAUAUCACACAGCAAGUAAGGGGUGCAGCCCAGUGUCAAAUCCAGGGUUAUAGAUAAGGCCAGUGCUGGAAGGGAUGAUUCUUGUUUCCUUCCUCUGGGAAAGAUCCUUUGACUAUUGCUUCCAUGGAAUUUGCUGGCACAAAUUUACUUUUCAAGGAUUGCUGGGCUGUGCUUAUUCUACUAAGGACUUUGUUGGCACAGUGAGUAUUUGCCAUUGACAUUCCUGCUUCACUUUAUUAUACCUUUGUUCCCAUAUGAAUUUUCCCUAGGUACUAGUCCAGCUGCUGCUGGAGUCAUAGGCUGAAAGCUGGUGAACUCUGUGCUCUGCCUGAGAAGAGAGCAGUUGAUGACAAGACUCAAACAUCACCUUUGGGGCCAGUGAGUCAGUUGAUAUGGCUUCUUCUUUUGAACUCUUUCCUAGAUAAUACUAAGGGGAGAUGAGGACUCUGUUGCCCCUUGCCCCACCCCAUUUAAAAAAUAUUUUUUCCAAAUUGCUAACGUAGUGUUUAUUAUAAAAAGAAAAUUACUACCAGUGAAAAAUUACUAAAAUAUAUGACAUGAAACUUGAAUUUUCCCUCUAAUUCUUUUUCCCGAAGAAAGCUAUUUUUAGCAAUUCUGUUUAACAUUCCAAAACUUUUCCUUCCCUGUGUAUAAAUUUAUAUUUAUUAUUACCAUUCAUUUGUAUCAAAUAUGGAGUUGUACUAAAUACACAGUUUUGCUACUGGCUCUUUUCAUUGAAUUUGGUAUUUGGGCCCACAUUCCAUGUCUGCUUGAACUCAUUCUUUUUUAAACAUCAGUUCUUCCCAGAUAUUCCUAGACACGUAAAAUGUGUAUCAAUAUAAACACACAGUGGUUUCUAUCAGUUACAUGUGAAACCAUCCCAAAUUCAGGACUGAACUAUUGCCUUCUGCCUUCUGCCUGUGUUCAUUGUUGCCCACGUGCAUCUUCUCCCAGCAGGUGACAAAGUCCCUCCUUGACCCCUUGUCAGACUCAGCUGAGCCUUUUAGGCCUGGAUCUUCAGUGUCUGUCUCGCAUAGCCCAGUUUUAGCAAGAACCCUGCUACUUCAGUUUAGCUAGCAUUUCUCACCCUGGAAUCUGAUCACUCUGAAUAUCUGACCAAACUUCUUACUCUUUACCCCUCCCAAACAACAUCUUAUCACCCUGGCCUUCCUUCAGUAAGUAUCUCUUUAGUUCAGUGUAGUAAGAAUUAUCACACUUCCACAGUACUUUUUCAUCCACUGACUCCUCCGUCCAUCCUUCUCUUUGGCUAUAAACCCCUGCUAUUCUUUACUGUAUCCAGGGUUGAGCCCAAUCUCUGCCCACUGCAAAACCCCAUGACACUGUAGUAGUCCCUACACCCACUGCAGCAGUCCUGAAUAAAGCCUACCUUACUAUUUUAAUAAGCAUCAGAAUAAUUUUUUAACACAAGUAAAAUGCUUCCAGACUUUGUCUUCAUCUUUAGCUUCAUCAGAAUCUUUGCGGGUGUGUUCACCCGCAAAAUGGAAGACUGCUUAGGUGUUCGUGCACACAUGAUACUAACAAUCAGGCAAAUACAUUCAAAUGUAAGUUCAAAGGAAAUGUUUCUAAAGCACAGUUUAAGUGAUUUUUAUAUAUUCAUAUUUAUAUUAAACACUGUUUGGGAGGAUCUGUGUUUCUGCUCCCCACUAAUGAAGUUGACAUUGGCAAGUAAAGUUGAGAAUCUGCGUAGAAAUUAUCCCUAAGUCCAUGUGAGGAGGUUGGGUUACAAACAGGUCGGUCAUCCCCUGGCUUCUCUUUUACAAUCACCUUCCUAAACCUCUACCCCCCACCCACGUAAGACAAUGAGAGCAAGAAGCCAAAUCCUUUUUAAGUAGUUCUUCAGUCUUCUUGUGUCUUGAAUCAUAAUCCGUCUCCUGUCAGGGGCAGGAAUGGUGGGGAAAGAGAGUCUCUUAUCUGUUCACCCAGUGCUCCCAAAUAAUCCUAAAUGACACACAUCUUCAAGCCACUUUGAGGCUUUCUCCUCUGCAGGCUGCUCUUUGGAGUGUUCAGGCAGGUGGCUGAAUGGCAGGCACCAGGAAGGGCACAGACUGGUUCAGCAUCUCAGCCCUCCCUAAGUUAAAUAUCAUGACACUCUUCUCUGACAAGAGCUUGAGCAAAUACCUUUGAAAUUCCCAUUUCAUGCUCAUUUUGAAUUAUGGUUAAAUGAAGUAACCGUAAAAAGUGAAGUGAAACUACUCUCAAGGGAUCUACAGAGGACCGAACUAAGAAUUGGAAAGUACAUAAUAAAAUGAUUAUUGCAUCAGCAUUUGGGAUAAGAUAAAAUAUACAGUUAAUGCUAACAUCUGGUUUGUUGUACAGGUCCUGAUUUUAUAUGUAUUUACAAAAAAUUAUGUGUAUUUUUUAUAAAUACACAGAGGAUAGAAGGUUAUUUAUAAAACCAUAUAGAGAAUAUAACCGUAAAAUAUUUGUCUUGGAUUUAUACUUUCAUGUCACAGAAUGAGAAUGUCUUAUAAAUUUUCUUUCUUAGACUGCCUUUGUCUGGUUUUCUUAUAAAGAUUUUCUUCGCUUCACAAAAUUAAUUGGAGAGAUUUCCUUCUCUCUCCAUUCUCAGAAAAAAAAAUUGUAUACUAUUAGGAAGUUAUUGCUUUUUUGAAUAUUUGAUAAAACACCUGUGAACCAUCUGGUUCUAUUAUGCUUUGAGUGACUAUUUAUUUACUGAUGGUAUUCACUCAUGUUUUCUAUUUCUUCUUGAAUUAAAAAUUUGAUUUAUAUUUUCU
rnacentral:lncRNA from 1 species